ACUUGCAAUUGCAUUAACAAGUGUUUGGGUAGUGUAUGGCUACACAACAGAGAAACUUAAGAUGGUGGUGGGAACUGAAGAACACUUCUCAUUUCAUUAGCAUCAAUAGCUUGUGCCAACGUUGUGGUCGGUCGACGCUGACCCAGUCACAGCAAUGAUUAGAGUAGCCAUAGUAUUGUGCAACCUGACAACUCACUUCAGCCUGUCAGCAAACUACAUGGCAACUACAUGGCGUUCUAUUCUAAGCUGUAGUCACAAACCAGAAGGGCUACAGGAAACUGUGGCAUCUACUCCGUCGUGUGAGCCACCAAAAUGCAUUGUGUUUGAGGCCUCUGCUUGUAGAUAAGCAGAACCUCGGCUUUGAGUUCUAUUGUUUGAAUCUCAAGGUUGUGCAUAUGUAAAGAAGUCACAUGUAGAUUGCAGUUUUUUAUCUUUGGAUCAAGAUGGAUGAUAUCAAAUGUUGUGUUUUAUUGUGUGAGAGGACCGGGACAGAUUGACUUCUCUAAAUAGAAUACUUUAGUUUUGCAUAGAGAUCUCUUUGAUCAUUUUUCAAUAUCCCAGUAUGAGAAUCCUAUGUCGUUUUUCAAACUGGAAUGCUCAUAAAAGAAAAAAAAGAAUGUGGCAGUCUCAAGUUGAGCACUAGUGAUGUAUCAUGAACUAAAAAAAUGUUCCUCUGCGGUUCUGCCUAAUAGUUGAGAUCAACAGUCAGGUGGCAACAUGCGCC
rnacentral:lncRNA from 1 species